AUUGAACGCUGGCGGCAGGCUUAACACAUGCAAGUCGAGCGAGCGGCGGACGGGUGAGUAAUGUCUGGGAAACUGCCUGAUGGAGGGGGAUAACUACUGGAAACGGUAGCUAAUACCGCAUACCAUCAGAUGUGCCCAGAUGGGCUUAGCUAGUAGGGGGGUUAAUGGCUCACCUAGGCGACGAUCCCUAGCGGGUCUGAGAGGAUGACCAGCGACACGGGAACGUGGACACGGUCCAGACUCCUACGGGGGGCAGCAGUGGGGAAUAUUGCACACUGGGCGCAAGCCUGAUGCAGCCAUGCCGCGUGUGUGAAGAAGGCCUUCGGGGUGUAAAGCACUUGCAGCGAGGAGGCGUUACUCGCAGAAGAAGCACCGGCUAACUCCGGGCCAGCAGCCGCGGUAAUAC
rnacentral:rRNA from 1 species